ACCCGAAACCCGGUGAUCUAGCCAUGGGCAGGUUGAAGGUUGGGUAACACUAACUGGAGGACCGAACCGACUAAUGUUGAAAAAUUAGCGGAUGACUUGUGGCUGGGGGUGAAAGGCCAAUCAAACCGGGAGAUAGCUGGUUCUCCCCGAAAGCUAUUUAGGUAGCGCCUCGUGAAUUCAUCUCCGGGGGUAGAGCACUGUUUCGGCAAGGGGGUCAUCCCGACUUACCAACCCGAUGCAAACUGCGAAUACCGGAGAAUGUUAUCACGGGAGACACACGGCGGGUGCUAACGUCCGUCGUGAAGAGGGAAACAACCCAGACCGCCAGCUAAGGUCCCAAAGUCAUGGUUAAGUGGGAAACGAUGUGGGAAGGCCCAGACAGCCAGGAUGUUGGCUUAGAAGCAGCCAUCAUUUAAAGAAAGCG
rnacentral:rRNA from 1 species